rnacentral:sRNA from 1 species
GCAGGGAUUGCCCCCACCAAGCCCCAGAGCUGGGAGUGGGCAGGACGGGGCAGCGCCAGGGAGGGCAGGACAGAAACCUGGCGUUGGAGAUUUUGUGGCUGAUCCCACAGCUUCUUGGGCAGAUCUGAGGCCUUCUGUGUCAGAGUUUGUGGAAUCUCACACAGGCAAGAGUCUUAAGCCAGUAAAUACAGGACAUCGGCAUCAGAGACUCAGAACUGCGCUCCUGGAAGAGGCACCACAGGAUGGAAGCAGGAAGCCAAGUGUACGGCAGACCACGCCGCAUCGCGUUACCGGCAGGCCACUCUUUAAACCCGAUCUGUUCUUUUCCAGGCCUUAGCUAAACCAGGCCACCUAAAUACCUGUCAUUAUCUGUGAUGAUUUCGCAUUAAUUGGGGUUUUUGUCCCUUCUGUUCCUUUUCUUAAAGGUUGGCUUCUUAAACACUUCCAAUGUGUCUGCUAGUUGCUCACUGUUAUAGAUUGAAGUUAUGGGGCUUGGGGGAAAAACUGUAUAAAAGCCUUAAGUGAUGUAACAUUUUAAUAAUUAAUAUGAAGGGCGGCUAUAACC